GAAAGAGUGGGAGAAAACUGGGACAUUGUAAAAGCAGCUGAAAAGUGGAAGACAGUAUCUAUUGGAAAACAUGCUUCUCAGUCCUUAUUGAUCAAGUCAAGCGACCGGUCAGAUGCGUCUGCGGUGCAGCCCCAGAGAGAAGGCCACACAAACCCACAGCCUUUUCCUCCCCACAACAACCCAUUUCCUCCAAGCAUUUGGGACGUUUUGAAGGACGGAGGUUUGGUCUGCCCCAGACGCUGUCUGAGCCCCGUCUGCCCACAGAUGCCGCUUAAUCCCUGCCCUCCAUCGCCUGAUGCGCCGCCCGCACCCGCACGGAUGGGCCCAGCCAGCAGCCGGUGCCGUGUCGAAUGGCAAUUCCCAUCAUGGGAAGAUUGUGGAAAUGUUUCUUUGCAGCCUCAGAAGCAGGAGGGCAUCUCCACCCAACCACCACCACCACCACCAAAAAAAGAAAAGUAAAGCCUGCCUAAUGAAGAAUGGAAAAUAUGUUGAUUUAACUCCAGAAAAAUGUUCAGUAGACAUUCAGAAAAGAAAGAAAGGGGGGAAAGAAAAGAUGCAGACAGGCCCCUAAGCAGCAGCUCCUCCUCCUCCUCCUCCUCCUGCUGCCGCCGCCGGCCGUAUCUAAUUUCAUUAGUAAGCUGUAAAUGGCAAAAUGAUGAAGAGAUAAAGUUUCAAAGGGCCAAGGGCCCUCGCAUUCUCUGUAACAUUAAUCAUAUGCUUUUAAUUUUUACAGACUGCAUGGUUCUCAGCUGCUUUCAGUCUCCUCGCCUUGGGCUUUUAUGGCUCUUAGGAGCCAGGCAAAAGCCAUAGGUCUGAAAGGGCCAGGGCAUCCCUGGCCAUCCCAAGGGGCAGUGGAUGGAGACCCCCUUCCUUUGGGGCCAGGAAAGAAGCCCCCCAGUGGGGCUGGACAAGUGGGCAACAGCCAAACUUUUACGGCCUUCAUGGUUGGCUCCCUUUGGAGAGCCAGGCUGCCUCUUCCUUGGCUUUUUCUGGGUUUUGGCCCAUCUAAUGCCAUCAUGGUGCAAUAGUUUGAGCAUUGGCUAUGACUCUGGAGGCUAGGAUUCGAACCCCUGCUCAGCCAUGGAAAUUCACUGGAUGACCCUGGGCAUGUCCUACUCUCUCAAUGGCAAAAGCCCCUCUGGAUAAAUUUUGCCAAGAAAAUCUGGUGACAGGGUUGCCUUAGGAUUGCUGAAAGUUGGAAAUGACCUGAAGGUAUGCAAGUUGUGGAUAUAUCUCAGAGGAAUGUAGAAUUGAGGAACACUUUUCUCUUCUUUGCUGCUAGCAAAAUAUUUCUUCCCAUGGCCAUCAGGAAGGUGUAUGUUUCUAGGCCAACAAUCCCCAAACUUGGUCUUUCAGGUGUUUUGGACUUCAGCUCCCAGAAGCCCUAGCCAGCUUGGUCAGCAAUCAGGAAUUCUGGGAGCUGAAGUCCAAAACAUCUGGAGGACCAAUGUUUGGGAAACCCUGUUCUAGGCCAUUUUGAUAUUUCUUUGACCAUAAACACCCUUUGCUUCAUAGGUGGAAGUGGACUUUACAUCUGUGGCGGCCUUUCAGCAGCGGUGGGAUGAUCAUCUUGAUAGACUUGCCUGAGGGUCGCCAUACAUUGGAAAUAACUGGAAGGCACUCACUGCCAACUAAAUACCCUUCCCCCCUGAAUGCCCCCUUUCCCCUUCCUUCCUUCCUUCCUUCCUUCCUUCCUGCCUUCCUUCCUGGCCAAAGAAAAUGAAGGGCCUGGGCUGCUGCUGCGGCAAUUAAGCUCCCAGGAAACGGCCUCAUUAGGCUAAUCACCAGUAAAUAAAGCAGUCAAGGGCAUCCAUUGCUUUCAGUUAAUCAGGCAAAGCCAAGGGAGAUGAAUGCCCCCCCCCCCCCCCGUUGCCCGGAUGCAUUUCCCUCCUUGCUCCUCAUGCAAGGGAAUCCAUGCCAAUCCUGCCCAAGGUCUGGGUAGGUCUUGCAACCUGUUGCAUCUGGGGUUCCUUCAUCCCUGAAUAUGCUUUGCAAGGAACCCUCUUUUGCCUUACAUUGCCUUGCGUGGGCGGCCAAUUUGCUUCCAGGCAGAAUCCAAGGGGUUGGUGAUGAUGUUCAGAGCCCUCCAUGGCUUGGGACCUUCAUGCCCAAAGAUGCUCUAUUUAUAAAUUAUGAAUUUAUGAAUUUCUCCUAUAUUUGCUUGUCCAGGAACUGAGAUAUGGACUAGCGGGAACAAUACAUCAACUGGGACCAUGUUAAGUGCAGUCAGCCCUCCGUAUCCACGGAUUCCUCAUCCAUGGAUUCAAUCAUCCAUGGUUUGAAAU